rnacentral:rRNA from 1 species
AUGAACGCUGGCGGCGUGCCUAAUACAUGCAAGUCGAGCGCACAGAUGAGGAGCUUGCUCCUCUGACGUUAGCGGCGGACGGGUGAGUAACACGUGGAUAACCUACCUAUAAGACUGGGAUAACUUCGGGAAACCGGAGCUAAUACCGGAUAAUAUAUUGAACCGCAUGGUUCAAUAGUGAAAGACGGUUUUGCUGUCACUUAUAGAUGGAUCCGCGCCGCAUUAGCUAGUUGGUAAGGUAACGGCUUACCAAGGCAACGAUGCGUAGCCGACCUGGGAGGGUGAUCGGCCACACUGGAACUGAGACACGGUCCAGACUCCUACGGGAGGCAGCAGUAGGGAACCUUCCGCAAUGGGCGAAAGCUUGACGGAGCAACGCCGCGUGAGUGAUGAAGGUCUUCGGAUCGUAAAACUCUGUUAUUAGGGAAGAACAAAUGUGUAAGUAACUAUGCACGUCUUGACGGUACCUAAUCAGAAAGCCACGGCUAACUACGUG